rnacentral:rRNA from 1 species
UACGGAGGGAGCAAGCGUUGUUCGGAAUUACUGGGCGUAAAGCGUGCGCAGGCGGUGAUGUAAGACAGGUGUGAAAUCCCCGGGCUUAACCUGGGAACUGCAUUUGUGACUGCAUCGCUGGAGUGCGGCAGAGGGGGAUGGAAUUCCGCGUGUAGCAGUGAAAUGCGUAGAUAUGCGGAGGAACACCGAUGGCGAAGGCAAUCCCCUGGGCCUGCACUGACGCUCAUGCACGAAAGCGUGGGGAGCAAACAGG